UUGGAGGGCAAGUCUGGUGCCAGCAGCCGCGGUAAUUCCAGCUCCAAUAGCGUAUAUUAAAGUUGUUGCAGUUAAAAAGCUCGUAGUCGAAUUUCGGGAUCAGUUGGUCGGUCGUGCCUCGGUACGUACUGGUCAAAUUGAUUCCUACCUUCUGACGAACCACGAUGUCAUUAAUUUGGUGUCGCGGGAAAUCAGGACUGUUACUUUGAAAAAAUUAGAGUGUUUAAAGCAGGCUCGCGCUUGAAUACAUUAGCAUGGAAUAAUGAAAUAGGACGUUUGAUUCUAUUUUGUUGGUUUCUAGGAUCGACGUAAUGAUUAAUAGGGAUAGUUGGGGGCAUUAGUAUUCAAUUGUCAGAGGUGAAAUUCUUGGAUUUAUUGAAGACUAACUACUGCGAAAGCAUUUGCCAAGGAUGUUUUCAUUAAUCAAGAACGAAAGUUAGGGGAUCGAAGACGAUCAGAUACCGUCGUAGUCUUAACCAUAAACUAUGCCGACUAGGGAUCGGAUGAUGUUAAUUUUUUAAUGACUCAUUCGGCGCCUUACGGGAAAC
rnacentral:rRNA from 1 species